GAUGAAGAACGCAGCGAAAUGCGAUAAGUAGUGUGAAUUGCAGAAUUCAGUGAAUCAUCGAAUCUUUGAACGCACAUUGCGCCCCUUGGUAUUCCAUGGGGCAUGCCUGUUCGAGCGUCAUCUACACCCUCAAGCUCUGCUUGGUGUUGGCGUCUGUCCCGCCUGCGGGCGGCGGACUCGCCCCGAAUGCAUUGGCAGCGUCCCUUGCCCCCUCUCGCGCAGCACAUUGCGCUUCUCGAGGGCGGCUCCGGGGCGCGACCCACCGAAGAUGACCACCGUCUUUGACCUCGGAUCAGGUAGGGAUACCCGCUGAACUUAAGCAUAUCAAUAAGCGGAGGA
rnacentral:misc_RNA from 1 species